CAUAUCUCUGCAGAAUGAAGGUUGCGUUGCUCUAUUCCUUGCAUAGCUUCCUUCUACAGUGGUCUCAAACUGCAGUGGAGCUCACGUGCUGCAUUGCAGAGGAGCCAUCUCCACUGACCUGAGUGCCAAUUUCACAGCCAUCAAUAGUGACUGCCAAGGUUCCCACCUGGGCAGUUUGACCUUCCUGUCAUGAACCACCCUAUUCUCUUCUAACAGUCUUGAGUUUCCUGUGACCCAGAUGUGGUGCCUUAGCUGAUCUUCCCCCAGGUACCGAUGGGUGCUCACCGUUACCCAAAGAAGUUAGCCACCACAGAGAAGACGUAUCUCCCUUAGGUGGUGAAGAACUCUGCUGUUGGGUGGAUGACAUGGAAGUGCCUGUGAAGAUUUACAGCUGGGAGAAGAAAACCAAUACAUUUUCAUUCUGCUGGGAAGACUGGACAAAAGGCAGGAGCCCCCAGGCCGUUGACUCCCUCACAGCCCUCCCUCAUCAGUCCUUCACCCUUCUCCCUGCCCUUGUAUAGCAGCAUCUCGGGGACCAUAUUUCCUCCUGAGUUUUGAAAGCAGGACGGGACCUGGGUUUGUCACCACCUUGGCGAGACCUCCUGAAAGGGUUUUGCUGCUGUGUCCAAAGGCUGUGUCCAACUAGAAUGCUGCCAUUUAUAAACAGGAAUUAAAAUGAAAUGAGGAAAAAUGUCACUGGGAAUUGGUUACUGAGAGACACAAAGUCUUGCAUCUUUAAGGAUCCCAAAGCAUCUCCAAAACUGUCUGCAUUUGCCAGUGCUAAAGGCAAGGGCAAGAGUACAGCAAAACAGGCCGAGCAAAGGAGAAAUGCUUACCAACCUCUGCAGCAAACCUUCUGCCUACUGAGGACAGCCACAGGAUGUUAAAUCGCAUGAUUAGCAGAUAGUCUUGGGUGAAUAUUUUUGGAAAACCCCUAAGUAACCUAAAAAAAUGAAUCCUGUUGACUCCCAAUGCAAUGUUGAAAGACAAAACUUCACUGGAAAUACGAGUUCAUAAGCCACAGCCUUUGAAACAGCCACUCGUCAUCGCAGAGCAUCUUUUGUCGACAGACAAAAACGUGUUUUCGCAGCAGGCAGAGCUGGGGGGGAUGUGGACCAGCUCUGAUCCAAAUGCAUGGUGGGCAGAUCCAAGCAGCGUGAAGCCUGAGCCAAGAAACUCAGCCUCUUGCCAGGUUUAUUGGCUGAGGUUCAGCACAUGCAUAAAUGUAGAGGGGCUUUUCGGAUGGAGGCCGUCUGCAUCCUACCGGUCCAUCGGGAAGAAGUUGGUCUGUCUGCAAAGAGCACACUGGUGAACCCAAAAUUGCUGUAAUGGAAAUGAUGCUCUGCUGCCUGCUGGCAGGAGGGUGAGGAUAAGCACCCAACUGGUUCUGGUUAGCAACUGUCGGUUUAAGAAGCCACUUCCAAACAGUUACAUACCUUCCUGAUUUAUUAAUUGAUAUUUUACCAUGUUGAGGAUAGCUUUGCUUGAUACUGAUG